GAUGAACGCUGGCGGCGUGCCUAAUACAUGCAAGUCGAGCGAACAGACGAGGAGCUUGCUCCUCUGACGUUAGCGGCGGACGGGUGAGUAACACGUGGAUAACCUACCUAUAAGACUGGGAUAACUUCGGGAAACCGGAGCUAAUACCGGAUAAUAUAUUGAACCGCAUGGUUCAAUAGUGAAAGACGGUUUUGCUGUCACUUAUAGAUGGAUCCGCGCCGCAUUAGCUAGUUGGUAAGGUAACGGCUUACCAAGGCAACGAUGCGUAGCCGACCUGAGAGGGGUAAGGGCCCACUGGGACUUGAGAACCGGCCCAGACCCAAGAGGGGGGCAGAAGGGGGGAAUUUUCCGCAAGGGGCGAAAGCCUGACGGGGAAACGCCGGGGGGGUGAAGAAGGUCUUGGGAUGGUAAAACCCUUUUAUUGGGAAAAAAAAAAUGUGUAAUAAAAUAUGCACGUUUGGGCGGUACCAAAAAAAAAAGCACCGGCUAACUACGU
rnacentral:rRNA from 1 species